rnacentral:rRNA from 1 species
AGUGAACGCUGGCGGUAGGCCUAACACAUGCAAGUCGAACGGCAGCACAGUAAGAGCUUGCUCUUACGGGUGGCGAGUGGCGGACGGGUGAGGAAUACAUCGGAAUCUACUUUUUCGUGGGGGAUAACGUAGGGAAACUUACGCUAAUACCGCAUACGACCUACGGGUGAAAGCAGGGGAUCUUCGGACCUUGCGCGAUUGAAUGAGCCGAUGUCGGAUUAGCUAGUUGGCGGGGUAAAGGCCCACCAAGGCGACGAUCCGUAGCUGGUCUGAGAGGAUGAUCAGCCACACGGGACAUGAGACACGGCCCAGGCUCCUAGGGGGGGCAGCAGGGGGAAAUUUGGGAAAAGGGGGGCAACCCUGAUCCAGCCACACCGGGGGGGUGGAGGAGCCCUUCGGUUUGUAAAGCCCUUUUUUGGGGAAAGAAAAGCAGAAGGUUAAAACCCCGCUGUUCGGACGGUACCCAAAAAAAAAGCACCGGCUAACUUCGG